rnacentral:rRNA from 1 species
GAUGAACGCUGGCGGCGUGCCUAAUACAUGCAAGUCGAGCGAACAGACGAGGAGCUUGCUCCUCUGACGUUAGCGGCGGACGUGUGAGUAACACGUGGAUAACCUACCUAUAAGACUGGGAUAACUUCGGGAAACCGGAGCUAAUACCGGAUAAUAUAUUGAACCGCAUGGUUCAAUAGUGAAAGACGAUUUUGCUGUCACUUAUAGAUGGAUCCGCGCAGCAUUAGCUGGUUGGUAAGGUAACGGCUUACCAAGGCAACGAUGCGUAGCCGACCUGAGAGGUGGAUCGGCCACACUGGAACUGAGCCACGGUCCAGACUCCUACGGGAGGAAGCAGUAGGGAAUCUUCCGCAUUGGGCGAAAGCCUGACGGGGCAACGCCGCGUGAGUGAUGAAGGUCUUCGGUUCGUAAAACUCUGUUAUUGAGGAAGAACAAAUGUGUAAGUAACUAUGCACGUCUUGACGGUACCUAAUCAGAAAGCCACGGCUAACUACGUG